AGGGUUUGAUCCUGGCUCAGGAUAAACGCUGGCGGCGUGCUUAACACAUGCAAGUCGAACGAAGUUUUUCUUUCGGGAGGAACUUAGUGGCGGACGGGUGAGUAACGCGUGGGUAACCUGCCUUCAAGAGGGGGAUAACAUUCUGAAAAGAAUGCUAAUACCGCAUGAUAUAUCGGAACCACAUGGUUCUGAUAUCAAAGAUUUUAUCGCUUGAAGAUGGACUCGCGUCCGACUAGUUAGUUGGUGAGGUAACGGCUCACCAAGACCGCGAUCGGUAGCCGGACUGAGAGGUUGAACGGCCACAUUGGGACUGAGACACGGCCCAG
rnacentral:rRNA from 1 species